UGGGGAAUAUUGCACAAUGGGCGAAAGCCUGAUGCAGCAACGCCGCGUGAGUGAUGAAGGUCUUCGGAUUGUAAAGCUCUGUCUUUUGGGACGAUAAUGACGGUACCAAAGGAGGAAGCCACGGCUAACUACGUGCCAGCAGCCGCGGUAAUACGUAGGUGGCGAGCGUUGUCCGGAUUUACUGGGCGUAAAGGGUGCGUAGGCGGAUGUUUAAGUGAGAUGUGAAAUACCCGGGCUUAACUUGGGUGCUGCAUUUCAAACUGGAUAUCUAGAGUGCAGGAGAGGAGAAUGGAAUUCCUAGUGUAGCGGUGAAAUGCGUAGAGAUUAGGAAGAACACCAGUGGCGAAGGCGAUUCUCUGGACUGUAACUGACGCUGAGGCACGAAAGCGUGGGUAGCAAACAGGAUUAGAUACCCUGGUAGUCCACGCCGUAAACGAUGAGUACUAGGUGUAGGAGGUAUCGACCCCUUCUGUGCCGCAGUAAACACAUUAAGUACUCCGCCUGGGAAGUACGAUCGCAAG
rnacentral:rRNA from 1 species